rnacentral:misc_RNA from 1 species
UGGCACAGGGAGAGGGUAAGAUUUACCCACGAUCUGACAGCACUGAGAUGAUCUUAUUUAACUAUGAAUACAUCAACAGUUUGUAAUUCUCAAGAUCGUUUUAAGUGAUGACUAUGAAUACCUAUCCAAUUACACAUCUUGGCUAAUAUUAUGGAGGGUAGAAGUAAGGAGUAGGAUCUCUUAUGGGAGAAAACGUGAAAAAGUGUUCAACGUUUUCUGUCAAUAACAGUUCAAAAACCUUCCUGAAUGGCGCUGGUGUAGACACUUGGUAUGGUAUGAAUGUGUUUUGGUUUGCCUUAGUGGUUUGCCGUUUAUGGUUGCCUUAGUGGCCGAAAGGAAAGUAAGAAUUUAGGAAAAGUGGCUUUAUUCAAAGCACCAAAAAGCUGUCAAUAGCAACAAGACUUCCCGCGUAAGUAUUUAAACGAGUACUCUGUGAGAAGCAGCGCGCCCUACCGGCAAAAUAUCUUGUCCCCUAAAUUGAUACCAUUCUUUUAACAUUACGUUCGGACGUACGAUCUUAAAUCCAACUUGUACGAUAAUUUACGAUUAUUCGUCAUGUAAAUAUAAUUUUCGAUAUGUCUUGAUUUUGUUUUUGUUACGCGAUUCGGUUGCUGUGCACUCUAGCGCACUCAAUUUAUGUAUCAAAAAGUUUGAAAAAGCAAUUUUUUGAUUGGCUACAGUCAUUCCGCCGUAUUCAUAGUUCGCUCUUAUACUUAAGUCCGCCUUAAGCAUAGUCUUAGCUAGCGUUUACAUUCAUAGACGCAAUCUUAAGAUAUGCUUAAAAGUUUGAUCUUAGCAGUGAUCCCAUUCGGCAGACACACCCACCCCACCACCACCACAACGAUCCGUGUACGAUCUGUUAAGACGAUCUUAAGAAUUACAAACUGUUGAUGUAUUCAUAGUUAAAUAAGAUCAUCUUAAUAACUUUACUUUUUACUCAAAACGAGAGUUUUUUUCAAGUCAACAUUUUAGUAGACUUAAGACCAUCUCAGUUAACAUUGAGAUCAAUUUUAAUUAAAAAUUAAUUAAUUUGAAAAAAUUGUGAAAACAAGUAAAGAAUGGAUUUUUUGGAAUUACAUAAUAUCAAUGUUGAUGAUGAUAUUGAUUCAGAUAAUGAAGACAUAAUUAUACGUGCUCCAAAACGUUAUAUUCGAGAUAUACAAGAUCCUUUUGAUUUUUAUUCAGAUGUUAAAUUUAAAAAGCGAUACAGAUUUGAAAAAAACAGUAUUAUGUUUGGAAUAUUACCACUAAUAGAACCGAAUUUAUCUAAAAUAAAUAAUCGUGGAUUACCUAUUCCACCUGUAUUUCAAUUGCUAAUAUGUUUGCGAUUUUAUGCAACUGCUAGCUUUCAGCUCAUCCUUGGUGAUACUAUGACAAUUUCCCAACCAACAAUAUCUAGAAUAGUUUUUCGCGAUUUGGUAAGGGAGCUAUUGGAAUACCUGGUGUUGAUGGAGCAAUUUGAUUGUACUCAUAUACGAUUAGUUCAUACAAGAUUUCAAAAUGUCGAUGAAAUAUACAGAAAUCGGAAAGGUUACUUUUUCUCUCAAUGUACAGACAGUUGUUGGUCCAUGAAUGGAAUUUUUAGAUAUUGUGCCAGAAUGGCCUAGUAGUGCUCAUGAUAGUAGAAUUUUUCAAAAUUCUCGAAUUUACAUGAGAUAUGUAGAACAUCAGCUAAAUGAAAUAUUAGUUGGUGAUGCUGGAUAUCCAUGUCUACCGUUCUUAAUGACACCAAUCAAUAACCCAGUAACGGACGAAGAAAUCACGUAUAAUAACAUUCAGAGUAGGACACGAAACAUAGUGAAAAGAACUUACGGUGUAUGGAAACGACGAUUUCUUUGUUUAUCAAGAGGAUUAACAACCAAACUUCUUUGUUCAACCACAAUUGUUGUAGCCUUUGUUGUAUUAUAUAAUAUGUCGUUAAGAUUUAAUGAUAAUUUACCAGACGAUGAUUCAGAUGAAGAACAAGAUGAAGACGUACAUGUACCUGAACCAAAUUGGCAACCUGCUGAUGGUUUUGCAUUUCGUGAAGCAUUAAUUGAGCAUAUAUUUAAUGCAUAAAAAUUAUAUAAAUCUAUUUUUAUUUUAUCACAUAAUUUUCUACUUUUUCAAAAGCAGAC